UUGUUCUUCCUUCCAAUCCCCACAGUUCUUGCAGAAGCCAUUCCUUGCCAAAUUCAACAUUGGAUCUCCCUCGUUCACUCUCUCAUGUAAUUGAUCGAAAGACCAGAGGAAUUGAUCUGAAAUACCUGAAUUUCUUCUUCUUCUUCUUCUUCUUCUUCCUUCCAAGCCCCACAGUUCUUGUAGAAGCCAUUUGCUGUCAAAUUUAACAUUGGAUCUCCCUCGUUCCAUGUAAUUGAUCGAAAGACCAGAGGAAUUGAUCUGAAAUACCUGAGUUUCUUCUUCUUGAUUCCUUCCAAGCUCGAGCAAUUCCUGUUAGAUUUUCGAUUAACAAUCACAAGGUUGUUUCGAUUCUCCAGAUUUCGAUCAGAUGUCGAUAGUUGAGGAUGGCCGUAGCCUGGCAGGCUAUACUCUGGACGACGUUCUGGCUAACAAUAGAUUAGGGCCACCGGCCGCUUCACGGGCCGCUGAAAUCC